rnacentral:rRNA from 1 species
UACGGAGGAUCCGAGCGUUAUCCGGAUUUAUUGGGUUUAAAGGGAGCGUAGGCGGAAGCUUAAGUCAGUUGUGAAAGUUUGCGGCUCAACCGUAAAAUUGCAGUUGAUACUGGGUUUCUUGAGUGCAGUAGAGGUAGGCGGAAUUCGCGGUGUAGCGGUGAAAUGCAUAGAUAUCGCGCAGAACCCCGAUUGCGAAGGCAGCCUGCCGGCCCCACACUGACGCUGAGGCACGAAAGCGUGGGUAUCGAACAGG